UGGCGGCCUUAGCCCGGUGGUCCCACCUGACCCCAUGCCGAACUCAGAAGUGAAACGCCGUAGCGCCGAUGGUAGUGUGGGGUCUCCCCAUGCGAGAGUAGGGAACUGCCA
rnacentral:rRNA from 1 species